UCCGGUGGGGGCUACCGUUGUUCGGAAUUACUGGGCGUAAAGCGCGCGUAGGCGGACCUGCAAGUCGGGGGUGAAAGCCCGAGGCUCAACCUCGGAACUGCCUUCGAUACUGCGGGUCUCGAGUCCGGGAGAGGUGAGUGGAAUUCCUAGUGUAGAGGUGAAAUUCGUAGAUAUUAGGAAGAACACCAGUGGCGAAGGCGGCUCACUGGCCCGGUACUGACGCUGAGGCGCGAAAGCGUGGGGAGCAAACAGG
rnacentral:rRNA from 1 species